ACUAACUAAUAAAUAAAAAACAAAACUAAUAAAUACUCAUUUGUAAGUCAGGGUGUUGGGAAUUGGGAGUGUCUUUCCUGUGCUUGUCCACCAGAGGUCCUCCUGGAGCCACUGCUGACUCUUCUACAGGUGUUCCAGAUCUUUGGCUGAUUGUGUAUACCUGGGAGGAGUAUUUAGGAGCCUGCCACCAGUCCUUCGUUGCCUGAGUGUUGUUGCCCAAGUGGUAAUCACCAGUCAGAGAAACUUUGUCAGUCUGACUUGAGCCUGCGCUAACCUUGUUUGUUUUUCCCUGCUUCCUGCUAGAAACCUGUGAGGUGUGGGCUAUUACCUUCGUACCUGGACUCGGACAUCCUGCACCCUCUACUACUGUUUGUGAUUUUGGACUAUUCAUCUCAAGACUGUGGUUCGGUUCCUAACCUUCCUAACUCCAGCCUCUGUGAGAACUCUGACCUCGUCUGGACUGUAUUAUUGGACAAGCAUUCUGGAUCGCCUAACUCCCAAGCCCAGUGGUACUAUUCCCCUGUGUAUCUCUGCUCUGUGAUCAAAGUAAGCUAACACCUUGGACUCUAUGGUUAUUACUUCUUUGUGAUCCGAACUAAUUAAUACUUAUCUCUUCAGUGGACCCGAAGAACCUGCCAACCAUUGUUUCCGGUGGAACUCAACUUUGUAGUUGUAAAUAAACCUUUGAACCUUGUCUGGUCUCCUGAGUGAGUUUUGCAUGUGGGUCAAACAAUGACAGAACACUCAGGCCAACAAGACCCAGCAGAUUCACUCAGGAUUCAACUAGCUGAACAGCAUCAGUUAAUCCAGUCGCAGGACUCCAAGCUCCGAUCGUUACAUGACCAGCUUUCUGUUACCAAUCAAUGUUUGGAACAAAUGGCAGGACAAAUGCAAAGUUUUCUUCACAGUCUGCAAUCUGGUGCUGGUACUACCUCCGCUCCGCCUAGUGGCGCUAUAGCUUCUCCGGCUCCUCACUCCGUAGCCUUACGUGACGUCACAAACCCAAACCCGGAAAAAGUCUCUGGCGAUGUGGAUUGGGGAGGUUUUCUACUCCAAUGUUACUUAAUGUUUAAUCGCUCUCCCCACUCCUUUCCUAUUGAUGAUGCAAGGAUAUCAUACAUUUGGCUUUACUAACUGGUAAAGCACUAAGUUGGGCAGAAGCACGAUUUCAAAAUCCUACCUGCUUUGAUUGCACCUACAAAGAAUUUAUUGAUGAAUUCCGUCUAACCUUUUCUACUGUUUCUGAUCGUCCUAGUUUAUCCCGCCGUCUCCUGAGUCUCAAACGGGCUAAGAUCUGUUUCUGAGUUUUCAAUUGAGUUUCGCACUCUGCAGCUGCCAUUGGCUGGAACCCGAGCGCUUUAAAGUCUGCGGUUUUUCAAGCAUUAAACAAGACGUUAAAGGAUUAGCCACUCUAGAUGAACUGGAGGCACUCAAUGAUUUCAUUGCUUUGGCUACCCGUAUAAACAACCGUCUUAGAGAAAAGAAGCGCUCUCGUCCUGUUGCUGGAAAAAUGGAGAAUCACACAAUUCUCAGACCUGCUCACCCCCAGCAGUGUUGCCAGAAACCUGUGAGGUGUGGGCUAUUACCUUCGUACCUGGACUCGGACAUCCUGCACCCUCUACUACUGUUUGUGAUUUUGGACUAUUCAUCUCAAGACUGUGGUUCGGUUCCUAACCUUCCUAACUGCAGCCUCUGUGAGAACUCUGACCUGCUCUGGACUGUAUUAUUGGACAAGCAUUCUGGAUCGCCUAACUCCCAAGCCCAGUGGUAUGAUUCCCCUGUGUAUCUCUGCUCUGUGAUCAAAUGGACCCGAAGAACCUGCCAACCAUUGUUUCCGGUGGAACUCAACUUUGUAGUUGUAAAUAAACCUUUGAACCUUG